CACACACACACACACAUACACAUAUACAUACACAUACACAUACACACUCACGCACUCACACGCGCACUCUCACACUCACUCUCACACGCGCACUCUCACACGCGCACUCUCUCACUCGCACACGCACUCUCACUCUCUCACACGCACUCUCACACGCACUCUCAUACGCACUCUCACACGCACUCUCACUCUCACACGCACUCUCACUCUCUCACUCUCACUCACGCGCACUCUCACACGCACACGCACUCUCACACGCACUCUCACUCUCACACGCACUCUCACUCUCACACGCACUCACACGCGCACUCACACGCACUCACGCGCACUCUCACACGCACACGCACUCACACGCACUCACUCUCACUCUCACACGCACUCUCACACGCACUCUCACUCUCACACGCGCACUCUCACUCUCACACGCACUCUAACUCGCACUCUAACUCUCACACGCACUCACUCUCACACGCACACACACUCACUCUCACACGCGCACUCUCACUCUCACACGCGCACUCUCACACUCACACGCACACACGCACACGCACUCUCACUAUCACAUGCACUCUCACUCUCACACGCACUCUCACGCGCACUCUCACUCUCACACGCGCACUCUCACACGCACUCUCACUCUCACACGCACUCUCACGCGCACUCUCACGCGCACUCUCACUCUCACACGCGCACUCACACGCGCACUCUCACACGCACUCUCACACGCACUCUCACUUUCACACGCACUCUCACUCUCACACGCACUCUCACUCUCACACGCACUCUCACACGCACACGCACUCACACUCUCACACGCACCCUCAUACGCACUCUCACAUGCACUCGCACUCUCACACGUUCACAAAAGCCUGACAAGACCUACACAAACACUGCUGUCGGGCAUGAGUUGGGCGAGAAUCCCGUGUUCAGGAAAAAGGUAGAUAUGUUUUAAAAAUGAUGUCUUUAAAAUGGGACACACUUCUUAAUUAUUGAGUUCAGGUGUUUUAAUUAGACCUAUUGCCAAGUGUAUACAUUUGUGAAGAAAAAUGGGUUGUUUUAAAGAGCUCAAUGAAUUCAAGAAUGGUACUGUGGCAGGAUGCCAUCUUUUUAGUGAGGUCGUGAAACUUCAUACCUGCCAGAUAUUCCACGGUCAACUGUAAGUGGUAUUAAAAGUGGAAAGGCCUUUUCUAUUCCAGCAUGACUGUGCCUCAGUGCACAAAGCAAGGUCCAUAAAGACAUGGUUGGAUGAGUUUGGUGUGGAAGAACUUGACACACAGAGCCCUGCCUUCAACCCCAUCAAACACCUUUGGGAUGAACCUGAACAGUGAUUUUGAGUCAGGCUCUCGUCCAACAUCAGUGCCUGACCUCACAAACGCUCCACAGGAUGAAUGGGCAAAAAUUCCC
rnacentral:lncRNA from 1 species